AGAGGUGAAAUUCUAUGACCCUAAAAAGAUGAACAACUGCGAAAGCAUCUAGCAAGAAUGCCUUCUUUAAUCAAGAACGAAAGUUGUGGGAGCGAAAAUGAUUAGAUACCGUUGUAGUCACAACUAUAAACAAUGUCGAUUUAGGAUUGUAAAAAGUUAAUUAUGAAUGACUUGUGCUGAACUAUGUGAGAAAUCAAAAUAUUCAGACUCCGGGGGGAGUAUGGUCGCAAGUCUGAAACUUAAAAGAAUUGACGGAAGGGCACCACCAGGAGUGGAACCUGCGGCUUAAUUUGACUCAACGCGGGGAAACUUACCAGGUCAGGAGACAAAAAGGAUUGACAGAUUGAUCGAUCUUUCAUGAUAGUGUCAUAGGUGGUGCAUGGCCGUUUUUAGUUGGUGGUUUGAAUUGUCAGGUUAAUUCCGAUAACGAACGAGACCUUAACCUGCUAAAUAGAUUAUCGUAUAUGAUGAAUAUUUGUUAUUAAUACUAUAAUAUAUUUUUAUAUUAUAGUAAAACAAUAGUUAUUACUAUUCUUCCUAUUUUUAAUAUUAUUAUAUUUUAAAAAUAAUAAUAAUAAUAAUUCUUUUUAUUGUUAAUAUUAUUGAUAAUUUAUAGUAAUUUAAUUUUAGGGAAUGAUUUUAAAUUUGUAAUCCCAAAAUAAAAUAAUGCUUCUUAGAGGAACUAUCUGUAUCUUAGCAGAUGGAAGAAAGACAAUAACAGGUCUGUGAUGCCCUUCGAUGUUCUGGGCUGCACGCGCGUUACAAUGGUGUAAACAGAAAGUUUAUUUACAUAAUUUGAAAAGAUUUGUGUAAUCUCUAAAUUAUCCCGUGAUUGGGAUUGUGUUUUGCAAUUAUCGCACAUGAACGAGGAAUUCCUUGUAUGAAUACGUUAAAAACGUGUUUAGAAUAAGUCCCUGCCCUUUGUACACACCGCCCGUCGCUCCUACCGAUGGAAUUUUGAGGUGAGGUUUUAUUUUGAAAAAAAUAAAAAAGAGAACGUUAAAAAAAAAAUAUUGUAUUGAAAUUUGUUCAAAUCUUUACAUUUAGAGGAAGGAGAAGUCGUAACAAGGUCUC
rnacentral:rRNA from 1 species